UUGUGCUCGUGAUUUUCGGAUAUCAAACCAUUAAUUGAUUUGAAUCGUCAAUCUUUGAACUCUCGAUUUUUAUUCGUGGGAAGGGAAAAAAAUGAGUAAAAACCCUUAAGACUUUGGAUUCGGGGGUUGGUUACGCGAAAGGAAGGUGCUAGCACCCUAAGCGUCUAUGGUAUCCCAUAGGAACCUCUUACCUAGAUUAUCUUGUGCUAAAUUCCUUUGCUUACUUGAAAAAUUAUUACCUAAA
rnacentral:lncRNA from 1 species